GCCAGAUUGCUGGGAUGCUCCGAAAUCAUUCCCACCAAACACGUCGGAGACCGGCGAGGCACUUGAGCUCCAAACAAACAUGUGCAGCUCCUUAGCGUCAUGGUUUGCUUUGGAAUUCUGAGGCUGCUGCUGCUGCUGCUGCUGCUGGCUGUUGUUGCUCCUGCUGCUGCUGAUUAUUCUUGGUGUUUUUUGCGGAUACAGUUGAAGAAAAUUCCGGAUUCGGUGCUGGAUAAGAUGUUGGCACCGUCUGCGUUGGAUAAAAGCCGAAUCUCGGAGAAGAAAUUGUAGCCAUUGGAGCACAAUUUUCUUCAAAAUUUGAGGGCCGAGGCGUUGGACCUCUUGAAGAUUGUACAGA
rnacentral:misc_RNA from 1 species